rnacentral:lncRNA from 1 species
UUUUGAUUUGAAAUGAACUUGGACAUUUUCUAAUUUAUACUGAUGGAUAUUUGUCGUUUUUUCACAAAUCCAUUGCCGAUUUUCUAACCUGUUUAUGGCGACAGCAUUUACAGUUUUUUGUUCAUAAGGAAAAUGGACAUACAUUUUUUGGUGUGCAUCAUUUGAAAUCACUAAAUAUUACCGAAACUUAUCUAGUUGACGUUGUGCAUCACGUAGCAAUGUCUGGAAAUCAUCAGUUGCAGAGUAUGUUUAUACAGAACUAUGCCAACCGGAUUCUAAAUAACAC